rnacentral:rRNA from 1 species
GAUGAACGCUGGCGGCGUGCCUAAUACAUGCAAGUCGAGCGAACGGACGAGAAGCUUGCUUUUCUGAUGUUAGCGGCGGACGGGUGAGUAACACGUGGAUAACCUACCUAUAAGACUGGGAUAACUUCGGGAAACCGGAGCUAAUACCGGAUAAUAUUUUGAACCGCAUGGUUCAAAAGUGAAAGACGGUCUUGCUGUCACUUAUAGAUGGAUCCGCGCUGCAUUAGCUAGUUGGUAAGGUAACGGCUUACCAAGGCAACGAUGCAUAGCCGACCUGAGAGGGUGAUCGGCCACACUGGAACUGAGACACGGUCCAGACUCCUACGGGAGGCAGCAGUAGGGAAUCUUCCGCAAUGGGCGAAAGCCUGACGGAGCAACGCCGCGUGAGUGAUGAAGGUCUUCGGAUCGUAAAACUCUGUUAUUAGGGAAGAACAUAUGUGUAAGUAACUGUGCACAUCUUGACGGUACCUAAUCAGAAAGCCACGGCUAACUACGUGCCAGCAGCCGCGGUAAUACGUAGGUGGCAAGCGUUAUCCGGAAUUAUUGGGCGUAAAGCGCGCGUAGGCGGUUUUUUAAGUCUGAUGUGAAAGCCCACGGCUCAACCGUGGAGGGUCAUUGGAAACUGGAAAACUUGAGUGCAGAAGAGGAAAGUGGAAUUCCAUGUGUAGCGGUGAAAUGCGCAGAGAUGUGGAGGAACACCAGUGGCGAAGGCGACUUUCUGGUCUGUAACUGACGCUGAUGUGCGAAAGCGUGGGGAUCAAACAGGAUUAGAUACCCUGGUAGUCCACGCCGUAAACGAUGAGUGCUAAGUGUUAGGGGGUUUCCGCCCCUUAGUGCUGCAGCUAACGCAUUAAGCACUCCGCCUGGGGAGUACGACCGCAAGGUUGAAACUCAAAGGAAUUGACGGGGGCCCGCACAAGCGGUGGAGCAUGUGGUUUAAUUCGAAGCAACGCGAAGAACCUUACCAAAUCUUGACAUCCUUUGACAACUCUAGAGAUGGAGCCUUCCCCUUCGGGGGACAAAGUGACAGGUGGUGCAUGGUUGUCGUCAGCUCGUGUCGUGAGAUGUUGGGUUAAGUCCCGCAACGAGCGCAACCCUUAAGCUUAGUUGCCAUCAUUAAGUUGGGCACUCUAAGUUGACUGCCGGUGACAAACCGGAGGAAGGUGGGGAUGACGUCAAAUCAUCAUGCCCCUUAUGAUUUGGGCUACACACGUGCUACAAUGGACAAUACAAAGGGCAGCGAAACCGCGAGGUCAAGCAAAUCCCAUAAAGUUGUUCUCAGUUCGGAUUGUAGUCUGCAACUCGACUACAUGAAGCUGGAAUCGCUAGUAAUCGUAGAUCAGCAUGCUACGGUGAAUACGUUCCCGGGUCU